rnacentral:rRNA from 1 species
UGGGGAAUUUUGGACAAUGGGCGAAAGCCUGAUCCAGCAAUGCCGCGUGUGUGAAGAAGGCCUUCGGGUUGUAAAGCACUUUUGUCCGGAAAGAAAUCCUUGGCUCUAAUACAGUCGGGGGAUGACGGUACCGGAAGAAUAAGCACCGGCUAACUACGUGCCAGCAGCCGCGGUAAUACGUAGGGUGCAAGCGUUAAUCGGAAUUACUGGGCGUAAAGCGUGCGCAGGCGGUUUGCUAAGACCGAUGUGAAAUCCCCGGGCUCAACCUGGGAACUGCAUUGGUGACUGGCAGGCUAGAGUAUGGCAGAGGGGGGUAGAAUUCCACGUNUAGCAGUGAAAUGCGUAGAGAUGUGGAGGAAUACCGAUGGCGAAGGCAGCCCCCUGGGCCAAUACUGACGCUCAUGCACGAAAGCGUGGGGAGCAAACAGGAUUAGAUACCCUGGUAGUCCACGCCCUAAACGAUGUCAACUAGUUGUUGGGGAUUCAUUUCCUUAGUAACGUAGCUAACGCGUGAAGUUGACCGCCUGGGGAGUAC